GUAUUAAGUAUAAAUUUAUUUCUUGAAAUAUGAAGAUUUAUUUGCUUUAUUAUUAUUAUUAUUAAUAUAUAUAGUUAACGGGUUAUAGUUAUUAUCUUAAAGGUAAAUGGUAGUGAAAUGUUAUUCAAUUUAUAUGGUAGCUAGUUUAUUUAUUUUUACAUUUUAGUGUUAGUUAAAAUUAAUUAUGUUAGUAGUUUUGUUUUAAUUUAAAUAUUGGGGGAUAAUUUUCCCUCCUAUUUGAAGAUGCUUCAUAGAGAUC